GACGAACGCUGGCGGCGUGCUUAACACAUGCAAGUCGAACGGAAAGGCCCUGCUUUUGUGGGGUGCUCGAGUGGCGAACGGGUGAGUAACACGUGAGUAACCUGCCCUUGACUUUGGGAUAACUUCAGGAAACUGGGGCUAAUACCGGAUAGGAGCUCCUGCUGCAUGGUGGGGGUUGGAAAGUUUCGGCGGUUGGGGAUGGACUCGCGGCUUAUCAGCUUGUUGGUGGGGUAGUGGCUUACCAAGGCUUUGACGGGUAGCCGGCUUGAGAGGGUGACCGGCCACAUUGGGACUGAGAUACGGCCCAGACUCCUACGGGAGGCAGCAGUGGGGAAUAUUGCACAAUGGGCGGAAGCCUGAUGCGGCAACGCCGCGUGCGGGAUGACGGCCUUCGGGUUGUAAACCGCUUUCGCCUGUGACGAAGCGUGAGUGACGGUAAUGGGUAAAGAAGCGCCGGCUAACUACGUG
rnacentral:rRNA from 1 species